GCUACAUGAACUACACUGACCACUGAUUGAUUUCCAUGUGUCAUUUGAGCUUGUUUUGACCUUUUAAGUCCUAAGGGCCUGAUAUUCAGAAGUGUUCAGUGCCCCAGCUUCCACUGACUUCAGCUGGCACUGCCUUCUGACAAAUCAGGCUUUAAACAGUUUGCAUCAUAGCUCUCUUGGAAAAUGUCCUCUCUUCCUGUGUUACCAAAGUCAUUGACGUGAACAUGAGAAGUUCAAGUUAACAACCCUUUCCAAAUACAAACUGAAGGGAGGCAGUAGCAUGGAGUUCUCGGUCAGGGCAGGAUGAGAAAACUGAGAUAGAUGUAAAGUGACUUGCCCAAGGCCCAGGCAGGCAGAUGGAGAAUGAGCCAUCCUCUUGUGUCUGUGAUAAGGGCCUGGAUUGGAGAUUCUAAGAUACAUGCUGGUAUAAUUCCAAGGACUCUACAACAGCGGGGCCAGAAAUGCUGACAGCUAGACAACGUACAGUACCUUCGUCCAAUGAUGAAUCCGAACACCAUGAAGACCAGAAUGAUGGUGCCUGCC